GAAGCCAGACUUAAAGGGGAAGCAGGCUGUCCCCGGGACGCUCUGGUCACCCAGUGAGAUGAUGCCAGUCAGGGUUCCCUGAGUCCACAGUGAGCCACAGGGGGUGGCCGAGAUCAUCCUGUGCCUAGCACGGGAGGGCUCUGGUGGGUCACUUGCUGCUGAGCCUGCAGAGGUACACGAUCCUGAUUCGAUCCAGUUCACACCAGCCUCCACUGUAUGGACACCACUGUACGGGUGCCGUGGUGAUGAUGACGGGGAGAGCCGCCUGUGCUCAAGCCGGGGGCGGCCACAGUGACAGGAGAGGAGCUUCCAGCUUUACCAGAAGAGCAGGAGCAGACGAAGGCAGCAAAGCCACAGGCGGCACUGCACUGGGGAUGGGACGUCCGGAACGGUACCAGACAUAGCGUGAUUGAGCAGAGUGGUUUUCACCAUACUGCCUUCAAUGGAGAGAGAAAGCGACAAGAGGAAAAGAAACAAUCUGAAUUAAACUGGAUAUUGAGGGCAGCUGUCACUGAAUCUCUGGGAAUCAUUUUAUUUACUUGGCUGUGAAAAAAGGCAAGAAGUGGAGGAGUCAGAAACUGGAGCAAGUGGAAAGGGUGGGGAACUGGAACGGCGUAACGGACAUUCUCCCUUCAGAGAACACCUCUUCCUGAAGCAUCCUGCCAGGUACUUACGGCACUGACCGGAAAGUGAAGCAACCGUCACUCUGCAGAGGGAGAGAGAGGAGCCGCCACGCGCUCCCCAGGCUACACGCAGUACAAGUGUAACCUCCUCGCGCCUGGGUAAUUGAGGACCGACCGUGAAAAUGAAAUUCCACUUUGCCUUCACAUCAUUUUCCCUUUAGCACAUGUUCCCCUUUUGCCCACUCAGCUCCCUUCCUAAUAAUGUCUGUCUUUCCAGUUUGAUCAGAAUGUACUGUGUGGUGAUCUGUAACCUCUUCACUGACGUGUGCUCUGUGUGCCCUGCCUUUGUGUUUUGUUGCCCCUGGUGUCCCUGCUAAGUCCUUGUGGUUUAUGUCACACCUCCUUUCCCCAGCAUAAAGGACAGUG